rnacentral:rRNA from 1 species
UACAGAGGAGCCAAGCGUUGUCCGGAUUGACUGGGCGUAAAGCGCACGCAGGCGGUCGUGCACGUGGGGUGUGAAAACUGGCGGCUUAACUGCCAGAGGCCACCUCAUACGGCGCGACUCGAGCCCGUGAGAGGUCCAUGGAAUUGCCGGUGUAGUGGUGAAGUGCGUAGAGAUCGGCAGGAACACCCAGGGAGAAAUCAGUGGACUGGCACGGUGCUGACGCUCAGGUGCGAAAGCGUGGGGAGCGAACCGG